ACAGUCUGAAAAUUACUCCAGUUGUUCAUGUUUUCUGGAGUAAGAUAACUGUGCCAACAUAAAAUUGGUACAUUUAAGCUUAUUGUCAGCAAAUGUAGCUGCACAGUGAAACCCAUGUGCCAACAUGC